UUCCUUCGUCGCCCCCAACACCCCAUCACAGCGUCGCCGAGCAUACAUCUGACACGGAUCUAAGCCGCCGCCGACCGGCCCCGUCGCCGAGCCACUCCACCGCCGACCACUGCCCUCCGCCGUCCACUGUCCUUUGCCACCACCAUACUCUGCGAGCUUUCUCCCCCGAGCAGGACUUGUCACCAGAGCACCGACCAAGCCUGCCUCCUCUACGUCCUCUGCCCCAAGCAACGGAGCGUCCGUCCCCUCCCGCGAGCAGCUCUGCCUCCUCCACUUCCUUGUCCCAAACCAGAGCAUUUGAUAGUCGUUGCAUUGCUGGAGGAAAGAGUGAGUAAAGAUCAUGCAGGAAUGAGUUUUAAUCCUGCUUGAAUCAUAGGCAGAAAUUUCGGUUGUUUUGUCUGUAAAACUGCAAAAUAUGUUCCAGAGGUAAAAACCAAAAUGCACUUAAAGCUGGCCAGAUUUGGAGAUCUUUUUACAAGUUCAUGGAUUACAGAUUUAGGAAUUAGGAAUUUAUGUAUACGACCAAAUUUUAUCAUCCCAGUAUCUUGUGUAUCUAGUAUGGUAUACUGUGGCAUGGCCUGCACUAACGUUCACAAGACUGCUGUCUGGCUUAAAAAAUGCAGCAAAGGUGAUGCUUGGUUCGAUCUGAUCUGUUAGCAAGUGUUUGUGAUGCACUCUAUAGGUUGCAAGUUGUUGGGUGGCCGCCUAUUGGGAGCUACCGGAAGAACAGACUAGCCGCCAAUGCCAUAAAGACCAAGGUUGAGAACAAAGGUAGAAGCGAGGCAGGAUGCUGCUAUGUCAAGGUCAGCAUGAAUGGAGACCCAUACCUAAGGAAGGUCGAACUCAAGACUUAACUCGAGCUAUACGAAAACAUUUCCCUAGCGAUCCAGAAGAUGUUCAGCUGCUUCAUCACUGGAUCGCAUACACUAUGAUCAGAUCUUUUUGGCAGAUUUGAGUACCUUGAGCUCUCAUUUGGAGAAAGCAUCAUUUUUUAGUUUCAGAUUCAUAUCGGCAUGGAAAGUUUAUAGUACCACACGAAGCAAUCAUGCAAAACAUGUUCCUGCAAAACAUCAACAAGGAUAGGCUCACAAAUGGUUCUAGGACAGAUGCUCUUAGGGACCAAGAGUAUGUCCUGACCGAUGAGAAUAAGGAUGCUGAUUAGAUGCUCUUUGGCAAUCUUCCUUGGAAGUUUCUCAAAGAUACAGAAGUUGCUGGAGGUUUGGAAGAUCUACAAGUUGGUGGAGUGAUAAUAUAUAUGUAAUAUGCCUUGUUUGUUGAACCUAGAGACAUUGCAAAGUUUUACUGUGCUCAUUUUGGUUGUUGUUUUGGCACCCAAGGCACUGUAUCCUCAUUUUGCUUGUGUGUCAUGAUCUUUCUUUAUCUCGAAACUUAUGUACAUAUGUAUCUGGUCUGUUUAUGAUAUUGAAUGAGGCCUUACACAUAACUUUGAUUGAACCGCAUGUAUAACUUGUGAUCUGUCA